rnacentral:tRNA from 1 species
AUAGCUCAAUGGUAGAGCGGUGGACUUGAGUACUGUAUACCUUGGGUUCGUAUCCCAUU